rnacentral:rRNA from 1 species
GAUGAACGCUGGCGGCGUGCCUAAUACAUGCAAGUCGAGCGAACGGACGAGAAGCUUGCUUCUCUGAUGUUAGCGGCGGACGGGUGAGUAACACGUGGAUAACCUACCUAUAAGACUGGGAUAACUUCGGGAAACCGGAGCUAAUACCGGAUAAUAUUUUGAACCGCAUGGUUCAAAAGUGAAAGACGGUCUUGCUGUCACUUAUAGAUGGAUCCGCGCUGCAUUAGCUAGUUGGUAAGGUAACGGCUUACCAAGGCAACGAUGCAUAGCCGACCUGAGAGGGUGAUCGGCCACACUGGAACUGGGACACGGGCCAGACUCCUACGGGAGGCAGCAGUAGGGAAUCUUCCGCAAUGGGCGAAAGCCUGACGGAGCAACGCCGCGUGAGGGAUGAAGGUCUUCGGAUCGUAAAACUCUGUUAUUAGGGAAGAACAUAUGUGUAAGUAAAUGUGCACAUCUUGACGGUACCUAAUCAGAAAGCCACGGCUAACUACGUGC